rnacentral:rRNA from 1 species
AGUCGAACGAUGAUAUCACUGCUUGCAGUGAUUGAUUAGCGGCGAACGGGUGAGUAACACGUGAGGAACUUGCCCAUGAGCGGGGGACAACAUUCGGAAACGGAUGCUAAUACCCCAUAGGUGGAUUGGUCGCAUGACGAAUUCAUUAAAGGUGGCUUUGCUACCACUCAUGGAUAGCCUCGCGGCGUAUUAGCUAGUUGGUAAGGUAAUGGCUUACCAAGGCAGUGAUACGUAGCCGACUUGAGAGGGUGAUCGGCCACACUGGGACUGAGACACGGCCCAGACUCCUACGGGAGGCAGCAGUAGGGAAUCUUCCACAAUGGGUGCAAACCUGAUGGAGCAAUGCCGCGUGAGUGAAGAAGGUCUUCGGAUCGUAAAGCUCUGUUGUUAGAGAAGAACACGUGCUAGGUAACUACUAGCGCCUUGACGGUAUCUAACCAGAAAGUCACGGCUAACUACGUGCCAGCAGCCGCGGUAAUACGUAGGUGACAAGCGUUGUCCGGAUUUAUUGGGCGUAAAGGGAGCGCAGGCGGUCUGUUUAGUCUAAUGUGAAAGCCCACGGCUUAACCGUGGAACGGCAUUGGAAACUGACAGACUUGAAUGUAGAAGAGGAAAAUGGAAUUCCAAGUGUAGCGGUGGAAUGCGUAGAUAUUUGGAGGAACACCAGUGGCGAAGGCGAUUUUCUGGUCUAACAUUGACGCCGAGGCUCGAAAGCGUGGGGAGCGAACA